rnacentral:rRNA from 1 species
CCUACGGGCGGCAGCAGUGAGGAAUAUUGGUCAAUGGGCGCAAGCCUGAACGAGCAAUGCCGCGUGAACGAGGAAGGUCUUCGGAUCGUAAAGUUCUGUUGAAGGGGAAAAAGAGCGGAGAGAGGAAAUGGUCUCCGAUUGAUAUUACCCUUCGAGGAAGUCACGGCUAACUACGUGCCAGCAGCCGCGGUAAUACGUAGGUGGCGAGCGUUAUCCGGAAUGAUUGGGCGUAAAGGGUGCGUAGGCGGCCUGCUAAGUCUGGAGUGAAAGGUACCGGCUCAACCGGUACAGGCUCUGGAAACUGGCGGGCUAGAGAGCAGGAGAGGGCGGUGGAACUCCAUGUGUAGCGGUAAAAUGCGUAGAUAUAUGGAAGAACACCAGUGGCGAAGGCGGCCGCCUGGCCUGUUACUGACGCUGAGGCACGAAAGCGUGGGGAGCAAAUAGGAUUAGAUACCCCUGUAGUC